GUGCUUGCUUCGGCAGCACAUAUACUAAAACCGAACAGUACAGAGAAGAUUAGCAUGGCCCCUGCACAAGAAUGACACGGAAAUUUGUGAAGCUUCCAUGUUUUUU